UACAAAGAAGAAGGAAAAAAACAAGAUAU
rnacentral:sRNA from 1 species